GUCAUGACACAUGAACAUCUGGUGAUUGAAAUACGACGCCGUGUAGUGAAUAGACUCGGCUUUAAAAGCUCCCCAGAUCUGGCUGGGGAGCCGUUUCCAAAGGCCACAAUUUCGCUUCUGCUUGUGAACAGAAUGCACCAGUGAUGGACCAGCAGCAUGCUCUUUCACGCGGUUGCGGAAUGGCCUUUUCCAGCUAAUGUGGUAACAUCAGUAAGAGCUGCGUUAUCUUCUGGUACUCGAAAUCGAAAACUAGACUCAAUUACGGCCAAGCCACUCUAGGAACAAGCCUUUGCCGCACCAGUGUGUCACUUGUUUAAUUUUUAUCUUGCCAGCCUUUUCAGUGGUUACGGUUUAUUCGGUUUUAAAGAUUUUUCUCAAACCCUUCCGGGUUUCUGUAUCGCAUAGUGAAAUGCCAUUGAUUUUAUGCAUAUGUUAUUGAGGAGGCCAGGAUGUUUGAACUACAGUUUCGGGAGUCGAGAGUGGUAAGAGCCGAUAGUUCGAGAGAAAUGGAUGUCCGUGUUUCGAGACGAGAUUAGCAUAUAACCGAAGUAGGGUUGGCGGAGUUGUAAGUGGCCGGAGUGGUUUGCACCGACAGUUUAGGAGAAGUAGAUUGACCUAUGUUGGAUUCGAGAAUAACUGAGAUGGCAGUUGUGGUAGUCAAUUAUAUGUGUAAAAUUUCAUCCAUUGUUAGCAGAGGCAGAAGUUGAAGCACUGAGAUAAAUAAAUCUGGAGAUUUUAACUUCAAUUUCUCAAACGGUUGAAGGAUUCUUUUCGAUAUUAUUCUAUUUUUUCAUUUAAUGAAUAUUUGUAUCAGAAUAUCGAGAAUGACUAUAGGUGACAGAUGAUAACAUAUUGAGAUGUGAAGGCAGGGACCGGAUAAAUGAAAGUAAUCCUGUCUUCACAUUUCACUAUGUUACCUAUUUGUCGCCUAUAAUCAAUUUCGAUAUUCUAUUACAAGUAUCCAUCAAAUGAAAAAAAAAUAAGAAUAAUAUUUAAUGAAUCCUUCAAACGUUUGAUGAAAUUCAAGUUAACUUUAUUAUUAUUGCAAUCUCCUGAUUUAUUUAUCUUAGUUUUAACAAUAAAUCUCUCGAUUGUUUUUCCUUUAAUCAACAAUGUAUAGAAUCUAUUAAUAAAUUCAAUAGUCGAAUUGUUAACAAUAUAAAA